rnacentral:rRNA from 1 species
UUAUUGAGCUCUACGCGAAGAACCUUACCUGGCCUUGACAUGCUAGAGAACUUUCCAGAGAUGGAUUGGUGCCUUCGGAGAUCUAAAUACACGUGCUGCAUGUGUGUCCUCAGCUCGCGUCGGGAGAGGUGGGGUUAAGUCCCGCAACCAACGCAACCCUUUUCCUUACUUGCCAGCAUUUCGGAUGG